AGGCGUAGGAAACUCUGACUAGCAGGCGUAGGAAACUCUGGCUAGCAGGCGUGGGAAGCUCCCACCUUUGCACACAGCAAUUUUCAUUUAUUUGUAACAAAUGUUUUACAUCAUGUAGGAUAUUCCUUCUACUUCACAAUUGUAUAUGUUAUGUUGGACUUUCACAUAAGAUUCAAAUAAAAUAUUAUUUUAUGUUGUUGGAUGUAAUGUGACUAAAUUUGGGAAAGUUCAGAAAAGGGCCACAGGAGGCACGGUCUGAGUUCAUCAGAGUGCAUUUAGAAGCAGAACAACACCCUGGUUGUAAUCCUGUCAUCCUCAGAUACAGAAAGGAGCUGCAGCACAAAUGAAAAGUCUCAGGGUGGGGAGGCUAGUGUCCAGUUCAGGGCUUCGCCUGUUCCUGACAGUCCUGUAUCUGCUCACAAUGAGCUGCAGCUCCAAGUGUGACAGUCGAAGUGUCAGUCCAACCAUUCUCCACCACAGAAGAAGUUAUCAAUUGCACUGUUGAACUAGAGUCAUCAACUCUAAAGAGAACCAGGGAAGCACCAAAUACUGAACCUGGACACAAGGAGGAUUCCUCCAUGCUAUCUUCUCCAGCUUCUAGACAACCUGACACGGAUAAAAGGAGGAAAAUAGCGUUUUGGCUUUUCCUGCUGCAACUGAUUUAUGAUAAGGUUACUCAACCUGGGGAUGACAUGCUACAUCAACUCCAUCCUCCAAAGCGUCCUUACUGACCCUGAGCUGCUCUCACCCAAGAUCCCAGCUCUUCAGAUGGUUUCUAGAUAUUGAAGUCAGUCGCUACUCCAACAUCAGAGAGGAGAAUAAGUCGCUUCUAUUUUCUUUUUAAAUGGACCGUCGCUGAAUAUAAUUCAGAUUUUGACGAUGACGAGCAGAAGGAUGCCCAUGAGUUCCUCAUCUGUGUUCUGGACAAAAUGAGGUCUGUGUCAUCAGAAGUUGAGCUGACAGCUGUAAACUCUGGCCUGACCUACACGUGCCCAGUCCAGGAACACAUUUCAGUUCAGAUGCUGAACAUCAGGACCUGCAGGGGAUGUGGUGAGCAGUCCUAUAGAAUGGAGGACUUUGUUAACCUCACUCUGGAGCUGGUACCAGGGGGAUCGGUGAGCCAGUGUCUGCAGGAGUAUUUCAAGGGGGACCAGAUAGAUUACACGUGCCACUGUGGAGCGCAGCAGUCAUCCCUGCAGAGCUCUUUCUCCACCCUGCCAAAAAUACGACAGGUCGUUAUUCUGGUGAGCAAAUGUUUGCCCUUUGCUCUCAGGUCAUCACAUCUGUGAGAGUAUCCAAAGAGGGCUGGAUAUGGGGGAUUCAGCAAACUCUUGGCUAACAGAUGAUGAUGAACAUGUCAGCCAAACAACAGGAGAAGAUGUCUGCUGCCGUAGACCAAGAAACGCUUUCCUAGUCUUCUAUGAAAACCAGGGUGCUCCUCUCGACUUACGCGGCAGAGAAGGUCGAACAACGGCUUCCUUGGACCCACGCGUCUCACUGCAGGAAGGUGCCGCCACCGCCAGGGGCCGACAAAUCGCAGGACAAGAAAGAUCACACGCCAGGAUCGUCGCCAUCCACCUGAGCCACCGAGCUAGCUGUGAGGACAGCGGCCCACCACAAGUUGUUUUUUUGCAGGAAGAGGUGGGUGAAGAGCACUGCUCCGACGGAAUCACAAUAACAUUCCGGGCAGUGAUUUGAGUUGCUUGUCUCCAGUGAGAGAGACAACAGAGUUUGAAACAGCUGAUCUGUGGAGCACAAUAAGAAUCAGCCUGUUUGCUCAUUGCUUAUGCUCCCUUCAUGUCAGAAAACUGACUGAUUAAAAAAAGAAAAAGGGGAGAGAAGAGGAGGCAAGAGGAAGACGAAGCAUUUAUUCAUUUAAUCCCUUAAUCCCUUUGGUUAGACGACUGUUAACCUCCGCAGUAUCUGGUAGCUUCUUUACGGGUCAAACGAAUACAGAGACUGGUGUUUUCCCGAGGAAACAUGCCCAAAGAUGUUGAAAUUCCUGAUCCGAGUGACGAUGAUGAUUGUGAUGUUAAUGACACAACCUGUUGACAUGGAUUUCCUUUUUCCUUCUUCGUGACUGAUCCUUGUAAUGCUUUUAAAAAUGUUCCUGUAGGUUUGAUGAUAUUGAUUUUUUUGAUUAUAUUGAUUUGUUUGAUUUGCCAUUUUACAGUAGUAUUGUCAGAUUGUUGUUUUUUCCCCCCGUUACGUUUUCUUUUUUAUUAUCAAUUUAGAUUUAUGCAUGAAUUAAAAUGUUUAGUUGUAUUAGUUUAGUUUUGCUUAAGCAAUGUUUUAAUUGAUAUUUGGAGUUUCAAAUGUUUUUCCUGACAUGAUUCUUUUUUGUUCUCACUGCUUGAUGAAAGAACUGGAGUUUUCUCAUACCAAAGAUCACUGAUUUAUGCAAUUUUUUUUUUAUUACAGAAGGACAGACCUGGGAUCUGAUUGGCUCUAUAGAUCCUUUAAUAUUAGCUGGUAAUGGUAACUCCUAGAUUCAACACAGGGUUUUCUGGCUCAGAUUGGCCGAGAGCAGAUCUCCCUGGGGGUCUCACCAGUUUUUACUACUCUUGUGGGUAGAGUUUUCUGGUAGUUUCCCCGCCCACACUGAACCUCUCCUGCUUUUGCUCCUGGUUUGGUAAGUUUGAGGAUGGUGGAUGGUUAUCCAUCGAAGUGGUGAGUGGAGGAUCAAGUAGGAGGGUUUUCAGGGUGGGGAGAGGGUAGACGGAUUCGACCUUAAUUAGUAUACAGGCUUAGCUUAAGUAGUCUAAUAUACUAAAAUAAUCUGUGCAUAGGGACCUAAAACAGGCCUUACUUAAUUAGUUGAACCCUAAAUUGUAUGCGAAUGCUAAACCUUUGAUCUUGUGUGUUAAAACUCCAUGAAGCAUUCAAGCUGAUCUUUAUUAAAAGUUCCAGCACACAUGAUUUGUAACUGUUAUGAGUCCUUGGUGUUGUAUUUGCAUAUUCCUGUAAUGAGUUAUCUUGUUUUUCAAUAAAUACUGUUUGUCAAUAAAAGUGCUGGAACUUCA